GAAGAGCUAGAAUUUCAGAAUUGGUUGUUGGCAAGAUCGUGACAUGAAAGCACAGCUAGUUUGCUUCUGUGGGAGCUCCUGAAAUUUUGCACUGAAUAAUAAUAAUGGAAGACCAGAACCCCAAAGAGAGGAAAUGGAUUUAAGUUUAUUUCAUACAAAGGAGGAAAUUCUGAAAACAAAAAAAAAACCAAAAAGGGAAGAAAAAAAGAAGCACAUGUCAAAAGAUAAAAU
rnacentral:lncRNA from 1 species